rnacentral:tRNA from 1 species
GGAGAGUUGGCGGAGUUGGUCUAACGCGCCUGCCUACUAAUCAGGUGUCCGGGUUUCCGGGCCGGGAGUUCGAAUCUCUCACUCUCCG